rnacentral:rRNA from 1 species
UACGAAGGGGACUAGCGUUGUUCGGAAUCACUGGGCGUAAAGCGCACGUAGGCGGAUGUGUCAGUCAGGGGUGAAAUCCCGGGGCUCAACCUCGGAACUGCCUUUGAUACAGCACGUCUCGAGUCCGGAAGAGGUGGGUGGAAUUCCUAGUGUAGAGGUGAAAUUCGUAGAUAUUAGGAAGAACACCGGUGGCGAAGGCGGCCCACUGGUCCGGUACUGACGCUGAGGUGCGAAAGCGUGGGGAGCAAACAGGAUUAGAACCUACCG